rnacentral:rRNA from 1 species
CCUCCGGGUGGCUGCAGUGGGGAAUAUUGCACAAUGGGCGCAAGCCUGAUGCAGCCAUGCCGCGUGUAUGAAGAAGGCCUUCGGGUUGUAAAGUACUUUCAGUCGUGUGGAAGGUGUUAAGGUUAAUAACCUUAGCCAAUGACGUUAGCGAUAGAAGAAGCACCGGCUAAAUCAGUGCCAGAAGCUGCGGUAACAAGGAGGGUGUGAGCGCUAAACGGAAGUACUGGACGUAAAGGGCACGCAGGAGGUAAAGUAAGUUGGAUGUGAAGUCCACGGGCUAAACCUGGGAAUGCCAUUAAAGACAGUUGAGAUGAGGCCUUGAGGAGGAGGUAGAAUUCCAUGUGUAGCGGUGAAAUGCGUAGAGAUGUGGAGGAAUACCGGUGGCGAUGGCGGCCCACUGGACAAAGACUGACGCUCAGGUGCGAAAGCGUGAGGAGCAAGCAAAAUUAGAUACCCGAGUAGUC